rnacentral:rRNA from 1 species
UACGUAGGUGGCAAGCGUUGUCCGGAUUUACUGGGCGUAAAGAGCGCGCAGGCGGUCGUUCAAGUCGAGUGUGAAAGCCCCCGGCUCAACUGGGGAGGGUCACUCGAUACUGAUCGACUCGAAGGCAGAAGAGGGAAGCGGAAUUCCCGGUGUAGUGGUGAAAUGCGUAGAUAUCGGGAGGAACACCAGUGGCGAAGGCGGUCUGCUGGGCCGUUGCUGACGCUGAGGCGCGACAGCGUGGGGAGCAAACAGG